GUUGUAGCUCAGUGGUAGAGCAGUUGCCUAGCUAGCUAGCAUGCAUUCGGCCCUAGGUUCAAUCCCUAGUAGUAGCA
rnacentral:tRNA from 1 species